rnacentral:rRNA from 1 species
GAUGAACGCUAGCGGCAGGCCUAAUACAUGCAAGUCGAGGGGCAGCACAGUGUAGCAAUACAUGGGUGGCGACCGGCAAACGGGUGCGGAACACGUACGCAACCUUCCUUUAAGCGGGGAAUAGCCCAGAGAAAUUUGGAUUAAUACCCCAUAAGAAUGUGAUCUGGCAUCAGGUAGCAUUUAAAGAUUUAUCACUUAGAGAUGGGCGUGCGUCUGAUUAGGUAGUUGGUGAGGUAACGGCUCACCAAGCCGACGAUCAGUAACUGGCGUGAGAGCGCGACCAGUCACACGGGCACUGAGACACGGGCCCGACUCCUACGGGAGGCAGCAGUAAGGAAUAUUGGUCAAUGGACGGAAGUCUGAACCAGCCAUGCCGCGUGGAGGAUGAAGGCCCUCUGGGUUGUAAACUUCUUUAUCUGGGACGAAACACUCUUUUCUAAGGAGCUUGACGGUACCAGGUGAAUAAGCACCGGCUAACUCCGUGCCAGCAGCCGAC